rnacentral:rRNA from 1 species
UACGUAGGGGGCGAGCGUUGUCCGGAGUUACUGGGCGUAAAGCGCUUGUAGGCGGUCCACCAAGUUUGGGGUGACAGUUGCCGACUUAAUCGGCAAAGUGCCUCAAAGACUGGCGGACUUGAGGGCCACAGAGGGACAUGGAACUCCAGGUGUAGUGGUGAAAUGCGUAGAUAUCUGGAAGAACACCAAAGGCGUAGGCAGUGUCCUGGGUGGUCGCUGACGCUGAGAGGCGAAAGCCAGGGGAGCGAACAGG